GAGCUUACCAUGGUGCUUGUCUAAAAAAUCACCAUAAUAAGCAUUAUGGUUGCUACUGCUACUACCGUCAUUGCUAAUCAAUGAACCUUAUAUAGUAACGUCAUCCGUUGCUACAUAGUUCCAUGUACUUGUUGGAGGUCACACCUUGUGCCUGUCUGCAAGUUUGUACUGUGUUUAUGUUUCCAUUAAUAUUGCAAUCCUCGAGUGCUUUACUUUUAAAAAAAUAAAUGCUGCCUGUGCGAGCUCUUGCAGCAAGUGGUGUCAGUUGUGUCCAUCAGUUUCUGUUACUUUGUUGUAUUUGUAUUACCUUAAUAAUGAAGAUUGUAAAGUUUCUUGUAGUCUGUUUCUUGAUAAAAGUAUAAACUGGUCCGAUUUGUUAAAGAUGAGCAUAAUAUUUUAUAUGAGAUGGU
rnacentral:lncRNA from 1 species